CCUGCCCUUUUAGCUUAUCGUGUCCUAGUCAUUCUACCAAGGUGAUCUCUGUACUGCCAGAGCAAAUAUUUUCAUCAGCAGGACUGUUAGUUACGUAAACAAGGUGGUAAAAAAAUUGAAUUGUCCCAGAAAAAGUUGACAAGAUAAUACUAAAUAAGAACAAAUUUGUUGCACCCUGUGUUGACCCUCAGAUAAUGGUUAAAGUCCUAAUCAUCACCGCUUUGUUGAUCAUAAAUGUGUUUCUUUACGAUUCCCAAAUACUGUUGUUUUAGUAAUCAAUUUUCUAUAGAUAUUUAUUAAUUAAUUGAUUAGAUUAUUGCCAGUACAUGUAGUAAAUGAGCUAUUAAUUAUGGUAUAAAAUUCCUGGGACUAUUAUCUAGUCCAAGGUAUUGAUGUUGAGGGUUUUACGUCCAUAAAACAACUCCCCACAAUCCAUAAAUUGGGUUUAAUUUUGUGUUUCCAUUUAGAAUAUGUUUUUCCAAGCGAGUACUCUAGUAUCGCUCGGUAAAUCCAACGAGUACUCAAUUAGUAAAUCUUCACCGAGUUGACAUCCCUAAUAAAAAUUAAUCAACUGGAAAGGUACUCAGAUUUGAUUUGUAGGAAUUUAUAACAUUAUAGCCAAAGUCAGGUCAUCUGUCAACUGCAAAGCAGAAAAUUCAAUAUUUCAAAUUUUCUACCGCCAAAGAAAUUCAUUGAGUGGUACUAGGUACAUCAGGAAUUUUAAAAUUUAAAAAACACAUCACAAGAAACUGUUAGGAUACAAAAACAAUACUUUUCAUCUAUGGAGAUUAUCUGUCUUACCCCUAGUUGGGAAUUCAUCACCUUAUAAAAAUGAUACAGAUUAAUCUGGUCAAGUGAUAAAAAAUAAACAUUGGUGCACCUUAUCAAAAAUUUGUAAGGGUUCCACGGAACCCAGUGUCUGGCCUACUCUUGCUGUUAAUCACAGGCUCAACAAAAAUGAGGAAAAAAAUUAAUAAAAAUAUUCCUCUCUAUACUAUCUUUUGAUUGUAAGUAGCUUCUGUCCAAGUUUGGUAAAAAUCCAGGAUAGUUUAUGAAUCUAAUAAAUGUUUUAAAAACUUAAACUGCAGACUGUAUGUAAUGUUAACUGGAAGAAAAACUAAGUCCAUUUAUAAGUAAAAUACAGAAAAAAUGGAACAAAAUUUUAACAAAAUUUCCUUCUGAAUACUAUCUUAUGAUCAUAAACAAGCUUCUUUCCAAGUUUGGUACAAAUCCAAGAUAGUUUAAGAAAGUUGUUAAAAUUUUAAAAACUUUAACCACAGAGUGAAUGUAAUGUUAACUGGCAGAAAAACUAAGUCCAUUUAUAAGUAAAAUACAAAAAAAUGUAAUUUUUUUUUUACAAAAUUUACUUCUGGAUACUAUCUUAUGAUCAUAAACAAGCUUCUUUCCAAGUUUGGUAGAAAUCCAGGAUAGUUUAAGAAAGUUGUUAAAAUUUCAAAAACUUAAACCACAGAGUGAAUGUAAUGUUAACUGGCAGAAAAACUAAGUCCAUUUAUAAGUAAAAUACAAAAAAAUGUAAUUUUUUUUUUACAAAAUUUACUUCUGGAUACUAUCUUAUGAUCAUAAACAAGCUUCUUUCCAAGUUUGGUACAAAUCCAGGAUAGUUGAAGAAAGUUAUUAAAAUUUCAAAAACUUUAACCACAGAGUGAAUGUAAUGUUUCCUGGCAGAAAAAACUAAGUCCAUUUAUAAGUAAAAUACGGAAAAAAUGGAAUUUUUUUUUUACAAAAUUUACUUUUGAAGAUUAUCUUAUGAUCAUAAACAAGGUUCUGUCCAAGUUUGGUAGAAAUCCAGGAUGAUUUAAGAAAGUUAUUAAAAUUUCAAAAACUUUAACCACAGAGUAAAUAUUUGUGGACGCUGCCGACAACGACAAUGGAAUGUAGGAUCGCUAUGUCUCGCUUAUUCGACAAAAGUCGUAGGCUCGACAAUAAAGGGAGAAAAAAAUCUAGAUUUUCAAGGUCUAAGGCUGACUUUAUGGUAAUGUUACGGGGCAAUAUAAUGUUGUCUUUAUCUAUCCUGUACAUUAUAGGACAAUUACUCGACUCUAGUUGAUAAGAAUAUAUAUAUUACAGUGGUGAUUUUAUUGAAUUUCAUAUAGAACCAAAAUCCAUAUCAAAUGAUGAAGGACCAGAAGGUGCACAUAGUAUUGUUUUCAUAACAGUGUGGACGAGACCAUUUUUUGGCGCGCUCAAGUCUCCAAUUGACCAGGUUAAAUUAGGUGAACGUUCUUCUGUAACGCCCACUUAUCACGUCAAAUUUAUUAUAGAAAUUUAAACUGUAAGGUCACCAAAGGUUCUCAACUCCUGACUCAAAUAAUUCCAAAAACUAUUACAGGAAUAACCUUUGUGUUUUGAUUAAUAUUGAAUACUUAAACGUUCUUUACUUGCGUUUUUUAUGUUUUGAUCAACAAUUUCAUUUUAUGUAUUGAAAUGUGUAACAAGUGGUUAUCUAAAUCCCCACUGAAGGGCCUCUGUCAGACUGUGUGAGUGUAAAAUCAUUGUUAUAGAUAGCCGACAACAAACAAGUUAAAGGUAAAUGAUUCAGUAGUAUUAACAACAAAUGUACUACGGUUGUCCACACUGUUACGGGAAUACCUCUAAAAUUAACCUUUCUGUCAAAUUUGGUUGAGUAGUUUUCAGGAAAUUAUUUUGUUUUCUAUUUGCAAAAUAUACAGUCAUGCUACAACACUCAACAACAUAAAAGAAAUGCAUUGAUUUUCCUUAACUCUACUAGAUGCCAAAAAAACAUGUGUUCUUGCAAACAAAUGAAUUGCUCGAAUGUUUUUUUAAAUUACUAAAAUCUAUCAGCCAUCAAAGGUGGACUUCAUAGUAUCUGUUAAGCUAUGUAUUCUAGGGUCAGUACAAAUCAGAUGUGGAUACUAAAUAUAUUCAAAAGAUUUGUAAGAUUACUUGAAACCUCUCCUCAUGCAACAUAAAAAAAAAAAAACAUUUGACAUCUACCCAUACAAGUACAUCUUCGCUUGCCAAGGAUUACGAUCCAGAGAGAGGAUUGUAACCCUUGGCUAGCGAAGAUGAUACAAGUAUAGCUCAAUUGAAGCUUAACAUAUUAACCGAUUGAAAGAAUUUGUUCAAUUUUUUUUUAUAAGUAGUUUGUAAAGGGUUCUGUGGAACCACAUGUCUCAUCUGCUAUUUCUGUUGUCAGCAUAAUGCUGACUAAAUAAAAAUCCAAUAAUCAGUAAAAAUUGAAUUAUUUUGUAAUCUGAAAUUUUUUCAGAUGUUGUUUCUAGAUUUUGAAGAAGCUUGUCCACAUUUCAUAACAUCCCACGAAGCUUUGACAAAGUUAUAGAUGUAUAAAAAAUUCCAUUUAUUGCUAUUUUGUGUAUUUUCUCUUUGAUCUUUUUUUGUGAGAAUUUUUCUUAUCAUGCUACUCCCUUGAGAUAAAAAAUUAUUGUCAGAAAAUAAGGGCUCACGUGCUGUUGUCAAUGUAAACAUCAACGACGUCAUAGGCAGAAUAGAGAUCAACAGAUUGUCAAUGGUCUAUCAAACUGGAGGAUGUUUCUCUGUCACAUCUAAGGAGUUAGUAGCUGAGGAAACACCCUCUCAUUUGAAAAACCAUCCACAAUCUAUAGUUAUCAGUAAAAAAUGAAAAAAAAAAAAUAUUUGAA